CUGCGCAGCGCUGCAUGAAGUCGAACGCACCUGUUAUCUUCAACAGGUGUCACGUUAGGCCGGGCAUACACUGCGAUUUCCGUGCGAUUUCAUCAAGAUCAGAGUUGGCCUUUCCUCUUUUUGAUGCGAGUCUUCCUCCUGGUGUUUGCGUCAAUGAUUGACUGUGACUGGUGCUUCAGUGUGACACGGUUGGUGACAUCACCGUCAUCAACGCCGCUGUCCUCCUCAUCUGUUGACAGAAAAGACAUGCAGCUCCUUCACGAUGGUUGCCAGAUCUUUGCCCUGUAGUUCCUCCUUUAGCAGCAUCAGUUUCUGGUCAGCCUCAGAC